GGGGGUUACUGUGAAAGAUAGAACACAAAGUCCAACUGCACAUGGUCCAGCGGUAUCAGGUAGGUGGUAGAAAGAAAAAGUUAUUCUGUAACUCCAUUUAGCAAGUAAUGGGCAUCUCAGAAGCAGAAAUGAACAUAGAUGCUGCUGGGGCUACAGUUGUUUAUUGAGACAAAGGAUGAUGAAAACAACUGGUUCAAGACUUUUAAUCACCUUUGAUCUUCUUGAAUGGGAAUAUUAGAUUUGUGGGGAUGGGCUGGAAUGGAAGUAAAUGCUCAGCAUCAUAUGCCUUAGAAGAAUAUUUAUAGUGUCUUCAAAAGCCUUGUAUUUUUAAUCUAAAACACUUGCAUUCAUUUACACCAGAACAAAAUGAUAUAAAAAGGGAUAGCUGUCUUUUAUGUCCACUCUCAAAUGGUAUAAUGAAAAAACUAAGGAGAAUUAGCCCUAUCAUUGCUUUUUUUCUUGCUACUGAGUUCUUUCAGCAGUGCUAUACAGGAGACUCCCCUAACGAAAGCAAAUAAAUACACCGAGAACUGAACUGACGGCACCGUUUGUGUGAUUUGGAGAGCAGAUUGUUCAUAACCCCAUGGAAAGUUUAACGAGCCGGCCUCUUCCUCAGUCUGCUGCACCAGCAGCCUGGGAACUGAACUGGAGAGCUGUCACGACAGAACCUGGCACUGCUGUGUGCUUGGCCAGAUUCACUGAAUACUGAAUUUAUGCCUUACAGCCACAUUUUUUUUCCCCCUUUUUUUUAACUGCAGCAAAUUUAAACUGCAUCCUAAAGUUUGAGACAGUCAAGCAUGAGAUUCUUCCUGCUGCACUUUUUACAGACUCUUAACUCAGAUGCCUUUCAACUGGGAAAAGGAAAUCGUAUGUUGUUUCUGGCCUGGCCUACCUGGCAGCAACCAAAACGGGGUCAGAGAACUCAACAUUUGUAAUAAUAGAUGGAUUUUAAGUAGUUGAUGCCUACUUUUUGCUUUUUAACUGAGUUUUGAUUGUUAAUAGAGCAAAAUAAUUUAGUCAAGCUACUAAAAGCAAUACUGCCCCCAGUAUUUUAGUUUAUCUGUAUUUCACAUGGACAUUUUAAUAUGUAAUUUCUUUUGCUAUGCAUAAGGAGAGGAUUUUUUCAUCUGUGCCAAGAUAGGAAGAGCA